rnacentral:rRNA from 1 species
ACAACAGUUGGAAACGACUGCUAAUACCGCAUAAGCCCACGAUCCGGCAUCGGAUUGAGGGAAAAGGAUUUAUUCGCUUCAGGAUGGACUCGCGUCCAAUUAGCUAGUUGGUGAGGUAACGGCCCACCAAGGCGACGAUUGGUAGCCGGACUGAGAGGUUGAACGGCCACAUUGGGACUGAGACACGGCCCAGACUCCUACGGGAGGCAGCAGUGGGGGAUAUUGCACAAUGGGGGAAACCCUGAUGCAGCGACGCCGCGUGGAGGAAGAAGGUUUUCGGAUUGUAAACUCCUGUCGUUAGGGACGAUAAUGACGGUACCUAACAAGAAAGCACCGGCUAACUACGUGCCAGCAGCCGCGGUAAAACGUAGGGUGCAAGCGUUGUCCGGAAUUACUGGGUGUAAAGGGAGCGCAGGCGGACCGGCAAGUUGGAAGUGAAAACUAUGGGCUCAACCCAUAAAUUGCUUUCAAAACUGCUGGCCUUGAGUAGUGCAGAGGUAGGUGGAAUUCCCGGUGUAGCGGUGGAAUGCGUAGAUAUCGGGAGGAACACCAGUGGCGAAGGCGACCUACUGGGCACCAACUGACGCUGAGGCUCGAAAGCAUGGGUAGCAAACAGGAUUAGAUACCCUGGUAGUCCAUGCCGU